GUCUCCAUCUUCACCUCCAUGUCUCCAUCUUCACCUCCAUGUCUCCAUCUUCACCUCCAUGUCUCCAUCUUCACUUCCAUGUCUCCAUCUUCACCUCUAUCCCUCCAUGUCUCCAUCUUCACCUCCAUGUCUCCAUCUUCACCUCCACGUCUCCAUCUUCACCUCCAUGUCUCCAUCUUCACCUCCAUGUCUCCAUCUUCACCUCCAUGUCUCCAUCUUCACCUCCAUGUCUCCAUCUUCACCUCCAUGUCUCCAUCUUUACCUCCAUGUCUCCAUCUUCACCUCCAUGUCUCCAUCUUCACCUCUAUCCCUCCAUGUCUCCAUCUUCACCUCCAUGUCUCCAUCUUCACCUCCAUGUCUCCAUCUUCACCUCCAUGCCUCCAUCUUCACCUCCAUGCCUCCAUCUUCACCUCUAUCCCUCCAUGUCUCCAUCUUCACCUCCAUGUCUCCAUCUUCACCUCCAUGUCUCCAUCUUUACCUCCAUGUCUCCAUCUUCACCUCCAUGUCUCCAUCUUCACCUCUAUCCCUCCAUGUCUCCAUCUUCACCUCCAUGUCUCCAUCUUCACCUCCAUGUCUCCAUCUUCACCUCCAUGUCUCCAUCUUCACCUCCAUGCCUCCAUCUUCACCUCUAUCCCUCCAUGUCUCCAUCUUCACCUCCAUUUCUCCAUCUUCACCUCCAUGUCUCCAUCUUCACCUCCAUGUCUCCAUCUUCACCUCCAUGUCUCCAUCUUCACCUCCAUGUCUCCAUCUUCACCUCCAUGUCUCCAUCUUCACCUCCAUGUCUCCAUUUUCACCUCCAUGUCUCCAUCUUCACCUCAUGUCUCCAUCUUCACCUCCAUGUCUCCAUCUUCACCUCCAUGUCUCCAUCUUCACCUCCAUGUCUCCAUGUCUCCAUCUUCACCUCCAUGUCUCCAUCUUCACCUCCAUGUCUCCAUCUUCACCUCCAUGUCUCCAUCUUCACCUCCAUGUCUCCAUCUUCACCUCCAUGUCUCCAUUUUCACCUCCAUGUCUCCAUCUUCACCUCCAUGUCUCCAUCUUCACCUCCAUGUCUCCAUCUUCACCUCCAUGUCUCCAUCUUCACCUCCAUGUCUCCAUGUCUCCAUCUUCACCUCCAUGUCUCCAUCUUCACCUCCAUGUCUCCAUCUUCACCUCCAUGUCUCCAUCUUCACCUCCAUGUCUCCAUCUUCACCUCCAUGUCUCCAUCUUCACCUCCAUGUCUCCAUCUCUCCAUAUUUCUUCUAUUCCUCCAGACAAACCUGUUCAGACCUACUGAAUAAUUGAGACUGUGCGUUUUAAUGAGCUGAAGGCAAACAUCAGCUCACGACUGAGCUGAACAACUGUACAGGUGUGUGUGUGUGUGUGUAUAUACAUGCAUAUAGUAUUAUUUGGUUAUAUGUGUGUGCACAAGUAGAAUGAAAUGGCGUGUUUAUAUGUAUGAGAGAGAGAAGUGGUGAAGUAUGCCGUUCAUUGGAGCAACAACAGAAUUCUUAAUUAUUCACUGAACCCUAUACUGCAGUCUGACAUAACUAUCUGCAAACCAGUAUGUGAGUUCAUAUCUCUAGUGCUGCCUGCAGUGUUUAGUACGCCUGAGAGAGGGAGAGAGAAAGAGAGAGGGGGGGGGGACCACACAGAACAGGCUUCCUAAACGAUCCACGAUCCAGCGAGUUUUAAUCCAGUCUGGAUGGAUCAAUAAGUCAUCAACAUUUAGUACAGUAUCGCACUUCAGCAGGCCUCAAUCGAUUAGCCUCCCUUGACAUAAUCCUCCUCUCGAUCUCGGUCUUCCCUCCUCCUCUCCCCCUAUCCUCUCUGCAGUGGCUCCAACAGCCUGUGGGCUUAUAAAAGGA
rnacentral:lncRNA from 1 species